AUGAGGAAACUAAGAAGAGUGACAAAAGGAUGGAGCUCAAAUGAAGAGGCUCAUCUUAAGAGAUAUAAGAAAAUCCUUUUAGAGGAAUUUGACAGACUAGAUAUUAAAUCUGAAACAAUAGAUCUCUCUGACUCUGAGUCCUCUAGACUCGAAUUUACACAUCUCCAAAAAAUUUGGCUCCAAGAGGAUACUAAGGCAAAACAGAGAUCUGGAGAUAGGGAUAUUAAGGAAGGAGACAGAAAUACUGAGUACUUCCAUGCAGUGGCAAACCAACGGAGGAGGAAAACAGCUAUCCACUCCUUGGAUGGGCCACUAGGGCUAGUCACUGGCACUAAGGAAAUGCUUGGAAUUGCCUGUAACUUCUAUAAAGAUAUUUUCAAAAAAGAGGAAAGAAGUGGGAUCCAUUUGGACCCAACCUUUUUCUCAGAUAAAGAGAAAGUUAACAAUGCUGAAAAUGAGGCCCUUGAGGCCCCCUUCUUGGAAGAGGAAAUUAAAAGAGCUGUUUUUGAAUCAUACUCUGAUGGUGCCCCUGGCCCUGAUGGUAUCCCCUUCUUUUUCUACCAGCACUUCUGGGAGCUGGUUAAAAAAGACAUGAUAGCCAUG
rnacentral:rRNA from 1 species